UACGGAGGGUGCGAGCGUUGUCCGGAAUCACUGGGCGUAAAGGGCGCGUAGGCGGCAUGCCAAGCGUGUGGUGAAAGCCCGGGGCUCAACCCCGGGUCGGCCGUGCGGACUGGCGUGCUCGAGCACUGUAGGGGCGGGUGGAAUUCCGGGUGUAGCGGUGGAAUGCGUAGAGAUCCGGAAGAACACCGGUGGCGAAGGCGGCCCGCUGGGCAGGAAGGCGGAGCAAUCCGUCGGCUGACGCUGAGGCGCGACAGCGUGGGGAGCAAACAGG
rnacentral:rRNA from 1 species